GCCCUGGUUCGCCUUUGAUUAUUCCAUUGAUUCAUUUUCCACAAACCUCCAGCAGUAAGGCCAAGUGCUAUUCCAUAAAUGAUCUCUUUCACCACACUUGGACCCUUGUAAGCAACAUGUGCAAUCUUAUGAGCAGCACCCAUGUUUCGCAGUGACUGUCGAUGGAGAUAGAACUAAGAACUGCAGAGAGAGUGGUGAGAGAACAGAGAGAAGGCA
rnacentral:misc_RNA from 1 species